CUAGCUGUAAACGUUGGAUACUGGGUAUUGGGGGUGACAAUGCCCUCAGUGCCGAAGCAAACGCGUUAAGUAUCCCGCCUGGGGACUACGGCCGCAAGGUUAAAACUCAAAGGAAUUGACGGGGGCCCGCACAAGCAGCGGAGCGUGUGGUUUAAUUCGAUGCGACACGAAGAACCUUACCUGGGCUUGACAUGUACGUAGUAGGGGACCGAAAGGCGACCGACCCUUCGGGGAGCGUACACAGGUGC
rnacentral:rRNA from 1 species